AACAAGUCAAAAAAUGAGGGAUUAAUCUGAAAUAAAGUAGGUACUGAAUUUGAAAUCUGAAAAUAUGACUUGCACCUCAUCUUUGCCUAUAAAAGGGAAUUUCCAUGCCAUAACACACAAGUUUGGCAGCCCAAAAACUCCCUCAAAAGUGUGCUCUCCAGUUUCAGAUUUAAGAUCUGAAAUCCAAACUUCAAAAUUCCAAAAACAAUAGAAAACCUCCAAAAAACUUAAGAAAAACGAGUAAAAUACUGUUCCAUUGAAGUUUCUCAAUUAGUUUCUGCAUUUCAGCUUUCAAAUCAACCUGUUAGCUUAGUUAGGAUCAAAAUUACUUGAAUUUUCUCUGGUUUCUGUUCAAUUUGGAGAAAUAGAGGUAGUUUGAGUCAGCUAUUAAUUAUAUACUAAUUGUUAUGAAGUGCUGGGUUCCUUUUGGAUUAUCUAAAGCUGUUUUGGUUUGACAUGUUGAAUCUGUUUGGUUUCCAACUCAUCCUGGGUUGUGCACUUGUUUCUGGGCUAUUUGUUUGUUAAUAUGCUUUGCUAUUGCUGCUGGAACUUCCUACUUACUAUUUUUGAUGUAUUACAGGUACAAACUUUGAACCUAUUGAGAUGUACAUAUUGAUUUAAAGAAGGAAUGAAAGGUAGUACUAAAAUCCUGGUAAUGUUUUGGUUGUGCUUGGCUAUGUUUCCUUCAUGAUGCUUAUGUACUGGUUUCUGUUCAAUUUGGAGAAUAGAGGCAGUUCGAGUCAACUAUUAGUUAUAUACUGAUCAUGAAUGAAGGAUUGGGCUCAUUUUGAAUGACUUGACGAUGUUUUGGUUUGUUUAGUUGAUUGUAAUGCUUUCCUGUUUGCAUUUCUAGGCCUGUUGGUGCUGUUUUGGGGAUUGAUAUGUAGUCUCUUUGGUUUAAAUCAUUUCUGGAGUCAUCAAGUUAUUUCUGGGCUAUGAUUGACUGUUUUGCUGCUGUUUGAAAUUCCAAAUCGCGGAUUGCUCUGCUAUUGCUAACCUCUUCCCCUUUCUACUUGAUUCUCUUCAGGUACACUACUUUGAGUUGCCUUGAUGUAUGCUCAUUGAAAUUGAAAUAAAAAUAUUUGAAGAUCUAUGUUCAGUUGGAGGCUUCCUGUUGUUGCUUUUUACUUGAUGUUAAUUAGUUGUUUUAUGAUUUUAACGACAGAUCUGUGUAUAAUUAGGACCAUUUCUGAAGUAGCUGGGACUCUAUAAGUAAAAGGACUAUUAAAUUGAAUUGUUUUUCUAAUAUUCUGAAAUCAGGAAUAUAGACUGUUAGACUAGUUAUAAUGGUUAUUCGCCAUUGGUCUUAGUAGCUUGGUUUUGGUUCUGUGCAAAUUAAUUGGUAAAAUCAGAAGGACAGCUGAAGUAGGAAUUGGUUUAUAGAUUUGUAACCACGCUUAUUAAUAGUUAAAAGGAGUGAAAUGUCUUGGACGAUACAACCUUCCAUUUCUACAUUCUUAAAUUGUCUGAGUAUGAACGCAAUGACAUUACUUAAUCAUUCUAGGAUGGUCGUUUAAGCCUCAUCAAUUGGUAGACUGUUAGCUUCUUAGAUUAAUAAUUGUCUGGAAUUAAAAUUCGUUUGGUUUGUGCUUGCUCCUCCUGGGACUCGACCACCCAGCUGGCUCCAUGUGGCCUAAUAGGGUUCACCUGCUUUGGGCCAAAAGCAGGUCCAGUAUAUAUAGUUAACGCGAAUUGGGUUUUUCACAAGCUUGGUUCAUUGGAGCAACAAUCAUAAAAUAAAUUCAUAAGGAUUGGGCCAUUUCAAAUGGAAUAAUUGUUUAGGAUUUCCUUUUAUUACUAUAGACAAAAAUAAGAUAGAAAAUCAUAGUUGCUUUUAGGUUGGAAUUUAAAUAAUAAAUGAGACGAGCCUCGCUCAAUAAAAAUGCAAAAUUGUGGGGCCCUCAAUAAUUGGUUAUUAAAAAUGAUUAGAAUUUGGAAGGGUCAUUUAGCGAAUUUCAACGGCCUUUCCCAGAACA
rnacentral:lncRNA from 1 species